UGCCUCUUGUAGUUGCCUCCUGACUGGCAGCAGAGUGCUUGCUUCCCAGUGCCACAGUUCCUGGUGUCACCUGGCACCUACCCAUCUGUCCGUUGCCGGCUGGGAACGGUACCGUGCCUGGGGGUCUGACAGUGGCACAUAUAGCACAUAAAGGGAGUCUAGGGAGAAGUUAAACCAGAUGAUUUAUCAGUCAGGGAGAAUGUGCAAAAUGUGCCCUCAGCGUGGAGGACUAUGAAGAAACGGGGUUGGAAACCAGUUACCUGUUACCUUCUGUGGGCCCCAGGGAGCAAACACUGUGAAAAUACUUGGCUUAAAGCUUUGAGGACUAAGUAAUUGCUGGAAGCUCUGGGUUACUUGGGACAUAAGCAUGCAUUUAUAAGCACUGAAAGUACUGAAGAGAGUUUCUUCUGGUUUCAGUUAAUAAUAGGGCACGUUGUGUACAGUUUGUUUGCUUGAUUGGUUCAUUUUAUUGUGUGUAAAUACACUGUAGACACAAUUUUGUCUUUUGUUCAGUGUUACUCAGCUGGUGUGCUUCUUGUCAAUCCAGUGAAUUACAGGGUAUAAGUAGCUUGCUCCAGUCUGUCUGUGAAACAAGGUUUAAAAUAAAGGCCCGCAAGGGAUAUGGUGGGACUGCAGAGGAGUUAGAAGGAAGGUAAGCAGAGGAGGAGGCAGCAUGUGCAGCAGAAUGGAAACCUUCAAAGCCAUGUGUGCCACAGGCACAGCAACUCAGUGGCAAUGUGAGUUGCCUCAGUAAACAAAGGAGUUCUGCUCUCCCAUGUGUGGUAUAAAACUCGGGCUCCAUUGGUCUGAGUGGAAAUGACAUGGGUUUGCAAUGGGGCAAAUGAGAGCAGAAUCUGGCCAACUGUUAAUAGCUUUUUUGUAUUUAGGGCUGAAAUAAAGUGGCUGUGUAUGCAAAUAAUUGUGCAAGCAUGACUCCUAAGUGACUUAUAAGAGGAGAAUUCAGUAUUCAAUUGUUGGAAAUACAGAGGGUUUGGCACAAAUCUCCCAGUUUGGCUGAGCUGUGCUUGACCUGUGACAGAGAGAGCAAAGGUGAUUUUAAGUCCUGGGAUCGGAGGGGCCAGUAUGUAAUGUAACUCAAGGCAAAGUCAGCACAUUGGCUGCUUUGUAAUUACACAUGCUUAUUUUGUGUACAAACCCAGUUGGUUCAUUACCUUUUAUUUCCGUUAUCACAAUCUUUAUGUGUGAAUCUGAGCUAUUUUACUUCAAAGGGGUGGCAUGUAACUAGAAUUUAAAAAAAAAAAAAAGGUUUGGUAAGAAGAAGUUGGUUGUUUUGAUAUAAAGAUGUUCUGAUGUAACAAAAAUGGUAAAAUUGUUUAAAUCUAUGCGCAGAAUCUGAAAACUCUGUGGGAAGCCUAACAAGUUGAAAAUAACCUGUCUUCCGUGCCCUGCAUUUCUUGCAGUUUUUUGACCCAAGUGUCGGAACAAGGAUAGUUUAGAUAAAAGAGAUAAUCCAAAGCAAUCAUGUUGCUGUAGCUUAACACACUGUCGCUCCAGCUGAACUUCAGCAGUCCUGCUUUUGUGCCCUGUGGUGAAAUGGUACCUGUUGGCUUAAGCCAUCUUCAUGUUGUUAAAUUAUUAAACUGUGGUAAUCUCACCACAAGUUAUUGGCUAUCCUUAUGUCAAGAAGUGUGGCUAUCCCAUUCUAACUCCUCAGCUCAGAGGAUGUUAUUCCUGAGGCCAAGAUUUAAAAAUGCUCUCACCUUCCAAAGGUCCUCCAGAAUCAUUCAAUAAAGUAAAUUUUAUGGAUACAAUCUCCUCUUUUUAUUUAUUUUUAUUUCCCCCUUUCUAUCAUGUAGAAGUGUGGAUGGUGUGGAGAGACAUCCGAUUUCAUUGGGGCACAAGUGUGAUCCCAGAGCCAGUGGGGUAUGUCUGAAAAUACUUCCUGGCAAAAGUUAUGCUGGCUGAGAAUCAGAAGCUUGCAUCCAGUUGACAUCACUGGAAGAUGCACACACAGAGUGAAAGUGCUAUGUGGCCUUUAAGCUUCUGUUCCUGUGGUACGUGAGGUUUUAUACUACACAGAAGAACUAUUCACUUUUCUGGGUAGUUGAUACAAAAUGGGUAUCUGUGAUCUGUUCCAGUCUGUUCUGUCUGGGGUAUUGUCUCCAUGACUUCAAGAGAGUGCCAUGUGUGCACAACAAUAAGGCUCUUUGGAUGGAAACAGUGCAACGCAGGACUCACUAACUGAUGAUAAUUUUUAAAGAGAUGAGUACAACAGGUCCUACUCAUCUAGAUUGUAGGAGUAACUUGAGAGAAUAUGUUCACCAAACUGAAAUGUUCUCUAAAAUAAUUGCUAACAGGUUACUUACGCUUGUUUUCUUCAAAAGCUGUAUGUUUUCCUAAGCCAAAUGGAAAAUUAGAUUUUCUUCUUAUUUAAAUAUAUGAGGAGUAACUGUGAAAAUUGUUUGGCUUACAUGGAUGUUAAGUAAGUGUCACCAGCGGAUAAUCAGACCCAGGACUUCCUUUGUGUGCUUGGCCAAAGGAAGGGACAUUUCCAUUUUCUGUUGCUGAUUGAGUUCCCCUGUGAUCUCGUCAAAUACACAGAAACACUGAAACUGUAUCAAAAAUAUGGUCUGUCUUGUGCCCUACCUUGCGUAUAUAUCACACCAUGAAGUUCCCCAUUGGUGAACCCAACGAAGCAGAUGGAUUGCAUGAGGAAUCUUGUGCUGCUGUGGUUGGCACCAACUGUGGCUGGUUGCAUCAGAAAUCACAGCUGCUCUCUAAGCCCUGUCUAUGCAUCUACAGCACCAGACUCCAGGGAACUGAUUAACAGAAAGAAAAUCCUCUUAAUCUGGGUGGUGUUGGUUUGUCAUCGUCAGGUCAGUACUUACAUAGCUGCAAGCCUACUGCUGCCUGCUUUGCAAGAGGCAGGACAUUAAUUACAGGGCGCGGCAUAAUGUAUCAUGCUUAGGCAUUUGAGGUGCUGACAAGAUGAUACUGCCCAGAGCAACUGCAGAGAGCAUGGUCAUGUCCAACACAAGGUAUGGGUUUAAGAUCUCAAAGCCCCCUGUUAUCCAGUGUGUCACUCCUCAAGAUAACAUGUGGCAUACAUGCUGAAACCUAAAACUCCCUUGCUUUCUGCCUCCCCAGCAACUUCAUACAUGCAUUCAGCUUCUCUUUAGUGUGAGCCACAAGGUGAGAAUCAGGGUACUACAGGGAUCGGAAGAGCUUUGGUGUUCCCUAGGCCAGCUGGAUGUGCAGCAGUCCUGUGCUUUUUGGCCUGAAAAGCACCAGAGCCUCUGAGUAAUGGUGCUGGGCAAGGUAAAGGUAUGGAGCAGACAAACUGCUGAGGUGCAUAGAUCCCUGCAAGACCAAGAGCCCAUUUUGGGGUGUGGAGGCGAUAUUGUGGGUCAGCAAGUGUGGGACUGAGUUAAGUAAGAGAAUGUAAGAGCAUGCUCACUAUAUGGCUGCUAAGCAGGGAGCAAGAAAGGAUUUUACUGUUUGUGGUUUGAGAGAUGGAGUGGGGAGUGAUGGAACAGGUAGAGAAGAAUUUGGUUGGACUGUGAGGGGAUUAUACAAUGUACCCAGGGCUUGCAAUUUAUCCCUAUCCAGGUUGGAAAUGGUCUAGUAUUCUUCAGUAGUGUUACAAGCAUCUGAUAGGUGCUGAGCACCUAACUCGCUACCCAGAGCAUUGACAGUUUACCCCCGUCUCGUUUGUCAUAGAUACCUGCAGAUUUAAUGCUUUUCUUUGGGAGAAUACAUCACUUUCCUGUCCUAUGAAACAAUGCUCCUCUUCUGCUAUUCUCAUGGAGAUGUGGUGCAAUGAAAUCACUUCCUAGCUAGGGGCUGGUGAAUCACUUUGUUGAUAUUCAUAAAUCUUCUCUUUGCUGCCAUUUUCCGCACUGGUCUUAAUAAAAUUUCCAAAGGCAAAAAUAAUAAUUUCAGAGACUUUUUGUUACAGAGAUAAUACUGGAAUUAUGUCAUUGCAUGCCGUACUGAACCCAAGCUCCCAGCUACCCAGACCUAUUUGGGUAGCUGGAGAUAUUGACACCUAUACAAUCACUCCCUCCCUGGCAGCAGAGAGCUUGCUUGCAGCAAGGCAGAGAGGGGGAGCACACGCAUUUGUCUCACAGGCUCUGGUGGGUAGUCCAAUAACUUAGCUUAAGGUUUAAAGCUCUGCUGUGGGUCUGAUAACCUCUUGCAUGGGAACAGGAGCGCUCUGAGCUGUCCUGGCUGUGUGCAAAGGCUCUGUUGCUAGUUGAGAGUCUCCAAUAUUUUAUUGCCUGCCUAGGAAGUGUAACUCUUUGGUCAUGUCCAUCAGCUCUGCAUCUUAAAUGGUAUUAAGAAGGGAGAAAGCUGUGGAGAAUGCUGCCACAGAAAGCAGAAAUAGGCAGGACCCUCUGAAUUUCCUUGUCUGAGGGGAGAUCAGACAGCAGUCUGUGUGAUUGUUUUGAGGCAAUGUCAGAGUUCUUCAAUAUGCAUCUUCUUACACAUUGGCACAGGGCUUUUUCCUGUAGAAAAGGAUUGCACAUGGUGUGGAUAUGAUCUUGUGAAGGUAAAGGCACUUGUGGUUUAUUCUUGGCAAAGCCUGAGGCUGCUUUAAAGUCAUCUUUAUGACAGCACUAAUCUUCUGGCAACUGCAGGCUCAGGGAGUUGCACAAGAAGUACAGAGGUGCGUUUGCACACUGCCUUGUUUGACGGGCCAAGCAUCCCUCUGUCACAAAGAUCCAGCUGUUUCUCCAACCGAGCACAAGCAUGUGUUCCAGCAAGCCCACUGCUGCCCUGGCAGGUUAUUUCCCUGUUGGUUUGCCCCGGUGGCUAUGCCUUUCCCUUUCUCUGUGAUACAUCACACAUUGCCAGCUGGUACUUCUAACAUGUUCAGUAGAAUGUUAAAAUGAAACAUCUUAGGAGGAGGUCAGCGUGCUGUGCGGGACAUGGCCUGUGUGUGGGCAGCAUCUGACAGAUUCCUGUCACCGUUAACCAACAGGCUUGUCAGAAAUGAUAGCACCUGCCUGUGGACUGUACUAACAUGCAGUACCAGCCAAAAUAGGAAGUGUUAAUAGUAUUGUUUGCCCCCUAUUCAUCAUCCCUCCCCACUGUGAAAGGCUCAAUGUGAAGAUCUGGAGGGAUAGUUAUGAGUAUUAGGGUAAUGACACCAGAUACCAUUCAGUUCUGAGCAGCCAAUGUGUAAUUAUUGUAAUAGAAAAGCAGCACAGAAAAUUGCUGAAGAGUUUUUCAGUUACCAGUGACUUUUCCACACAUAGGCAGGUAAGAAGGUAACCUGUCUAAAACAUUUCUUGUUCCAGAAUUAGUGCCAAGGAUCAGAUCUUCCUGAUCCAUUGCUGGGAAGCUCUGUUCUCCCAUUUACAGUGUGCCUACGUGCUGGAGAUUUUUCUGUUUAAUUUCUCUUCUGUGAUGGAUGAAAUCAGUUGACAUCUGUUUUUUAUAUUGAAAAGUUGUUGGCCUUUUUCUGCCUAUGUCGCAGCCUUUAGUGCGUUUAAUGUAUGUUAUUAGCACUCCAUAGCAGAAUGCUGUUUUGUGCCCAAUAGGGAUUCUCAAAAUAGCCAUUGCUUCACCCUCUCUCUAAGCUUCUCUGUAGUCCAAGCUGCUUAUUUUUCCAUGUGGUCCACUGUGAACCUCCCAUUGUAAAUUAUCUGCCCUUGUAACCCACAUCCUAAUUUUUCUUACUCUGUUCAGUGUAACUACUGACCAUUGAGUUUAGCAAAUCCAGUUGGUAUUAAGAGGAUACCUGGGAGAUUUUCCUAGUUGCAUGAUUUGUACUUACUGUGUAAGUUUUGUAAGGCUGUUUGAUUCCCUGCAGCCCCCAUCUCAGAUGUGGGACCUUGGAAUUCGGUUGAUUUGAAAAUCACUUUUUCUUCAUUUGCAGUCCCCAGGGGACUGUCAUUGCAGCAUUGCCUUGCGACUGUGCUGAAUUAAGAGUCAGAGCCCUGCUGAAGUUCCCAGGCCAGAGGAUAUGAUGGCUGCUAGAAACAUCGGUGCCGUUCUAUGUCUAUGUUGGGGUAUUUUUUCUUUGUUUGUUUGUUUGCCUGUUUGUUGUUCCCCCCCGGACAAAAUCUUUUUGCUUUGUAAUGGUCAGCGGUUCUGAGGAAAAACAGUUAUUUCUUAGGUACCUAUUAAAAUUUAAGAAAACAGUGGUUCUUCUUCCCCCUUAUGUGCGCACCUCCUCUUUCCAUAUGCUUUAGUGUUUUAAACAGAUCACCUCUUUCCGUUGUUACAGGAAAACAUUUAAAUGGCACACCAUUUUAUAGAAAAAGGAAGGAAAAAUCCAGUAACAUUGUACUCCGCCUGUAGGAGCGCUCAGUCUAGGAAUGGCAAAAUCAGCAAAUUUGAAAUGUAGGACAACAGGUGAGGAGAAGAAGGGAGUGGAGUUGCAGAUGCUAGAUAAGGACAGGAUUAGACUGAUCAAAGAGACAGGAGGAAUGACAGAGGAUACUUGGCAAGAGAGACCCAAUGAUAUGGGUCAGCUUUACUCCCAUUGAAUCCAAGAGUUAUCCCAGAUUUAUGGAGGCACGACAUCCAAAGUGCUCCCAAAAGCUUCCAUCCAAAGCAGAGGGAGUGAGAAAGUGGGUAGGGAGGAAGAAAAGCAGAGGGGUUGGGGCCAGCCUGGAACAGGCCUGUGUAAAUGUGAGCUGGGCUCUUGCACAGUCCAUGGGAGUUUUCCUAAAAACAAUGGUGGUCUCAAGACUUGAAUUUGACCCAAAAGCAGAGAGAAUUACAGCAGUUCUGCCAUGUGGUAGGUCUGCAUUUGGAAUUGCAAGCCUUGUUUUGCCUCUGGAGUCCUCAGCAUUGCACAGUCCCAUUACAGCAGUGGUAGCAAUGCAGGAUUUAGUGACCGUGAGUUCCUAUCCUUUGGCAGCUGCACUGGUCCAUGUGCAUUUCUAGUGAAGACUGUCCCUAGAGUGAAGGUUAUCUGGUGGAACUAGCAACAGCAGCUUUCCAGAAAGCAACACUAGUCUUGCUAUAGGCACAACUGGGUAGCAUUUUCCCCAGCCAAGCCCUGGGACUGUGUGGAAGGGUCUGUUUGAUGAAAUCUGGGGCAGCUGAAGGGCAGACAGGCUAUUCUGGUGUUUGCGUGUGUGCUGGAGAAGGUGGAGGCAUGCCUGUGCAGUGUGGGGAACCUGAAACUUCUCCAAGAGCUCUGACUAGGAGAUGCAAAUGUAAUGCUUUAAAAAAGGCAAUUUACUGACAGAACAAAAACUAGUAAUGAGAUGAACAAUUAGCUCAUCUUUCAGUUUUCUGGAUACUUUAACAGCUGAAGAGUUAAAAUUAAUCUCGCAAUUAAUCUAAAAACAUGUUGGAGCAUUAAUUUGAGGAUGUUAAAGUCUUCCUGAUCAUUUUAUGGUACUCUUUUGGAGGAAGAGUGUCUUAACGUCAAGUUAGCUUAACCCUCACUUUGUUAUUGUUACUAGUCAAAUUAAUUGCUGUCUUUAGCAGAGAUCACAAACCCUCCACAAGUCUUACUGUAUUUACUUAUAUGUUUUCAUUUCUUGAAAGGUGAAGAUGUAUAAAAACAUAAAGGAACAUUGUUAGCAGUUUAUUGCAGCUAGCAGUCACACCUGCAUUUUCAGCGCAUCUUAGUAAUGUAUGUGAAUCCAUAGAACAUAUCUGAAAUUUUAUAUGUAUUUUAAGGUUUGCUCUUGCUCCACUUGUGUCUUUUCCCAAUCAUCAUUUCAAAAACGUCAGAGGAACAACAACUGAGCAUUUCUCCUGUUCACACCUGUGCUUUGGGAUGUGAAAGAAUAACAUUGGCACAGAGAGACCUGGACUUCCUCUUGGAUGCGUCUGAAUGAAUUUAUGGGGCAGUCCUCUGUGAUCAGUUUGAGAGCAGCUGAUGGUGAGCAUCACCAAGAUAUGGUACUGGACUGCUUAUCAAGAAAAACUAGAUUCAUGAAACAUCACUAUCCUAAACUGCAGCCUCACCAUGAGGACAUUAGGGCAGCCACAACUGUGCAAAGUAUCUUCACCAGCAAUCUUUCACCCUCUGACAAAUCCUUUCUUCUUGAAGGUGACUGUGGGUGGUCUUCCUUUGUCUAAUUUCUGUAAAUUCGGUACAUCACUUUCUAGUUAUGCAGCUGAUACUCGUGUUUAUAUGAAUGGCCAUUUAAAAAAAAAGAAAGAUCAGAUGUUUGUUGUUUCAUUUCAACAUAAAUCAAACUUUGUAUUCAAAUAGCAAUUCUAGUUUAGCCCCAGGAAUAGCUUUAGUAUUGCUAAGUGUCUGGAGAGUAUUGACUACAGAGACAUGAUUUUAAGCAGGCUAUAAUAGUUUCUACAGCUGUUAACAGUUUGCAGAAGAAAGGCGGUAUUAUUCCACGGUGUUUAAAAUGUGCAUGACUUGCAUUGCACAGAAGUCAGAUUGGGAGAAUGUCAGAUUUUUUUUUAUUCUGAAAUUCUGCCAGGAAAGUCUUCAAUAACUGGAGAAAUUCUUUUCACUGGUGAAAUCAACAUGCAGCACAUUGUGUUAUUAUAAUUCCUUAUAGCUCACCAUGAAAGUUGUCUUUGUAUGCGUGGAUGUACGGCUUGUACUGUUUUGUUUUUAUUUAUUCUGCAUUCUUUAUUAUAAUGUUCUUUCCUUUUCUUCAGACCAGAAAGAUUGUUAUUGAGCCUUCCACAAAGCUGAAAUAAUGCUGUGUGUUAAAAAAAUGUUAACAAUUUGAAGAAGUUAUAAAAAUUUAUAAGUUGACUGAA